CGAACAGGCAUCUUGUGAUCCCUUAGGAAUGUGGAUUCAUUCGUUCCACAAGUAUUUCUAUGCUUAUAGAGGACAUUUGGUAUGCCAGGCUCUGUGCUAGGCACUGGAGGUAUCCUGAUGCAAAUAGACUUGAUAGCUGCCUUCACAGACUUUACAGUCUAAUGAGGAGGAACAGGGAGAAAACAAACAGUUUCAUAUCCAGAACCCCAGCUAGAGAAGCUAGGAGGGUAGAGGGAAAACAUUUUUUCUUCUCCUGCAAUAGAAUCGUCAAUCUUCCAGUCUGGGUCCCUGAGUGACUACGAAG
rnacentral:lncRNA from 1 species